rnacentral:rRNA from 1 species
UACGUAGGCAGCAAGCGUUGUUCGGAAUUAUUGGGCGUAAAGGGUGCGUAGGCGGUUUGGUAAGUCUGAUGUGAAAUCUAUGGGCUCAACUCAUAGUCUGCAUCGGAAACUGCCGGGCUUGAGUGUGGGAGAGGUGAGUGGAAUUCCUGGUGUAGCGGUGAAAUGCGUAGAUAUCAGGAGGAACACCAAUGGCGAAGGCAGCACUCUGGGACGGUACUGACGCUGAGACGCGAAAGCGUGGGGAGCAAACAGG